rnacentral:rRNA from 1 species
CAGCCGCCGCGGUAAUACCGGCGGCCCGAGUGGCGGUCACUAUUAUUGGGCUUAAAGCGUCCGUAGCCGGGUUGGGAAGUCCUCCGGGAAAUCUGGCCGCUUAACGGUCAGAAUGCCGGAGGAUACUCCCAGCCUAGGGAGCGGGAGAGGCCGAGGGGAUUCCCGGGGUAGGGGGGGAAUCCUAUAAUCCCGGGAGGACCACCUGUGGCGCAGGCGCUCGGCUGGAACGCGUCCGACGGUGAGGGACGAAGGCCAGGGGAGCAAACCGGAUUAGAUACCCGGGUAGUCCUGGCGGUAAACGAUGCGGACUUUGUGUCGGACAAGCUAUGAGCUUGUCCGGUGCCGGAGGGAAACCGUUAAGUCCGCCGCCUGGGGAGUACGGCCGCAAGGCUGAAACUUAAAGGAAUUGGCGGG